ACUGUAAUGUGGUUGAAAUCACAUUGAGUAAAAUCAUUUGAAAAGUAACCUUUUCUGUUUUUAAUUACUUUCAGCUUGAACCAUUUUACAUUCAAGAUUACACUCCAAAUUUCAUCAGCUUAAACCCAAAGAAUUUCACUCAAGGAUCCAUUAUCUAUGCUACAGAGCUUACAUUCGCAGCCAAUGCCACUUUACCAAAUACUACGCAACUUUUCAACACACUGCAGAGAGCAGCUUUAAGCGGAAAUUUGACGUUCAGCAUCAUCUCCAUCAAUGGCACAAAUUUAGUUUCAUCGGCAUCCUCAAUGGUCAUGGGCAAGUUUGGACUUUUGACUGCAAGCACUCUCACAAUGUUUUCAUUGUUUUUAACACACAUGUGGUAAUAACAAUGGAUCUGUUUUAACCUAAUUUAUUCAUAUAUAUAUAUAUAUAUAUAUAUUUUUUUUUUUUUUCACACACACACACACUAUAGUGUAUAUUUUAUUCUUAACAAGUGAAGAGAGCAGUUCACAGUGAGUUAGAGCUCAGAAUACCAUAAUAUGAGCAAGGACUCACAAGUGCUUUUAUAUUCGGUG
rnacentral:lncRNA from 1 species